rnacentral:rRNA from 1 species
CCCUUAGAUGUUCUGGGCUGCGCGCGCGCUACACUGAUGCAUCCAACAAGUUUUUUCCUUGUUCGAGAGGACUAGGUAAUCUUAUGAGAAUGCAUCGUGAUGGGGAUAGAUUAUUGCAAUUAUUAAUCUUCAACGAGGAAUUCCUAGUAAGCGCGAGUCAUCAGCUCGUGCUGAUUACGUCCCUGCCCUUUGUACACACCGCCCGUCGCUGCAACUGAUUGGGUGACCUGGUGAACAUCUUGGACCGGCCCACUCAAUUUCGAGAGGACUGGAAAAGGCCGUAAAUCAGGUACAUCUAGAAAUUGCAAAAGUCGUAACA